rnacentral:rRNA from 1 species
GUUAGGAAUCUUCCACAAUGGGGGCAACCCUGAUGGAGUAACACCGCGUGCUGGAUGAAGGCCUUCGGGUCGUAAACAGCUUUUGUAUACGAAGAAUAUGACGGUAAUAUACGAAUAAGGGUCGGCUAACUACGUGCCAGCAGCCGCGGUCAUACGUAGGACCCAAGCGUUAUCCGGAGUGACUGGGCGUAAAGAGUUGCGUAGGCGGCUUAUUAAGCGAGUAGUGAAAUCUGGUGGCUCAACCAUCAACACAUUGCUCGAACUGAUAGGCUUGAGAAUGGUAGAGGUAGUUGGAAUUUCUUGUGUAGGAGUGAAAUCCGUAGAUAUAAGAAGGAACACCAAUGGCGUAGGCAGACUACUGGACCAUUUCUGACGCUGAGGCACGAAAGCGUGGGGAGCGAACCGGAUUAGAAACCCUUGUAGUCC